GGCACUCAUAGGGAAUGAUGAGUGAGUGAUGGUAUCUUACCAGAAAGUCACGGCUAACUACGUGCCAGCAGCCGCGGUAAUACGUAGGUGGCGAGCGUUAUCCGGAAUGAUUGGGCGUAAAGGGUGCGUAGGUGGCAGAUCAAGUCUGGAGUAAAAGGUAUGGGCUCAACCCGUACUGGCUCUGGAAACUGAUCAGCUAGAGAACAGAAGAGGACGGCGGAACUCCAUGUGUAGCGGUAAAAUGCGUAGAUAUAUGGAAGAACACCGGUGGCGAAGGCGGCCGUCUGGUCUGGAUUCUGACACUGAAGCACGAAAGCGUGGGGAGCAAAUAGGAUUAGAUACCCUAGUAGUCCACGCCGUAAACGAUGAGAACUAGGUGUUGGGGGAAUAACUCAGUGCCGCAGUUAACGCAGUAAGUUCUCCGCCUGGGGAGUAUGCACGCAAGUGUGCAACUCAAAUGAAUUGACGG
rnacentral:rRNA from 1 species